rnacentral:rRNA from 1 species
UUAAGUUAAUAAGGGCGCACGGUGGAUGCCUUGGCACUAGGAGCCGACGAAGGACGUGACAAACGACGAUAUGCCUUGGGUAGCUGUAAGUAAGCGAUGAUCCAGGGAUUUCCGAAUGGGGGAACCCAACAGGUAGUACCUGUUACCCACAUCUGUUAAGGAUGUGAGGAGGAAGACGCAGUGAACUGAAACAUCUAAGUAGCUGCAGGAAGAGAAAGCAAAAGCGAUUGCCUUAGUAGCGGCGAGCGAAACGGCAGGAGGGCAAACCGAAGAGUUUACUCUUCGGGGUUGUAGGACUGCAAUGUGGACUCAAAGAUUAUAGAAGAAUGAUUUGGGAAGAUCAGCCAAAGAGAGUAAUAGCCUCGUAUUUAAAAUAGUCUUUGUACUUAGCAGUAUCCUGAGUACGGCGGGACACGUGAAAUCCCGUCGGAAUCUGGGAGGACCAUCUCCCAACCCUAAAUACUCCCUAGUGACCGAUAGUGAACCAGUACCGUGAGGGAAAGGUGAAAAGCACCCCGGGAGGGGAGUGAAAUAGAACCUGAAACCGUGUGCCUACAACAAGUUCGAGCCCGUUAAUGGGUGAGAGCGUGCCUUUUGUAGAAUGAACCGGCGAGUUACGUUAUGAUGCGAGGUUAAGUUGAAGAGACGGAGCCGUAGGGAAACCGAGUCUGAAUAGGGCGCCUUAGUAUCAUGACGUAGACCCGAAACCAUGUGACCUACCCAUGAGCAGGUUGAAGGUGCGGUAAGACGCACUGGAGGACCGAACCAGGGCACGUUGAAAAGUGCUUGGAUGACUUGUGGGUAGCGGAGAAAUUCCAAACGAACUUGGAGAUAGCUGGUUCUCUCCGAAAUAGCUUUAGGGCUAGCGUCGACAUUAGAGAUUCUUGGAGGUAGAGCACUGUUUGGGUGAGGGGUCCAUCCCGGAUUACCAAUCUCAGAUAAACUCCGAAUGCCAAUGAAUUAUGGUCGGCAGUCAGACUGCGAGUGCUAAGAUCCGUAGUCGAAAGGGAAACAGCCCAGACCACCAGCUAAGGUCCCAAAAUAAUUGUUAAGUGGAAAAGGAUGUGGGGUUGCACAGACAACUAGGAUGUUAGCUUAGAAGCAGCUAUUCAUUCAAAGAGUGCGUAAUAGCUCACUAGUCGAGUGACCCUGCGCCGAAAAUGUACCGGGGCUAAAACAAUUUACCGAAGCUGUGGAUACCUUUAUAGGUAUGGUAGGAGAGCGUUCUAUGUGUGAUGAAGGUAUACCGUGAGGAGUGCUGGAACGCAUAGAAGUGAGAAUGCCGGUAUGAGUAGCGAAAGACAGGUGAGAAUCCUGUCCACCGUAAGACUAAGGUUUCCAGGGGAAGGCUCGUCCGCCCUGGGUUAGUCGGGACCUAAGGAGAGACCGAAAGGUGUAUCCGAUGGACAACAGGUUGAUAUUCCUGUACUAGAGUAUGUAGUGAUGGAGGGACGCAGUAGGCUAACUAAAGCAGACGAUUGGAAGAGUCUGUCUAAGCAGUGAGCUGUGAUGGGGAGCGAAGUUUAGUAGCGAAGUUAGUGACGUCACACUGCCAAGAAAAGCUUCUAGCGUUUAAACAUACUCUACCCGUACCGCAAACCGACACAGGUAGUCGAGGCGAGUAGCCUCAGGUGAGCGAGAGAACUCUCGUUAAGGAACUCGGCAAAAUGACCCCGUAACUUCGGGAGAAGGGGUGCUGACUUUAAGUCAGCCGCAGUGAAUAGGCCCAAGCAACUGUUUAUCAAAAACACAGCUCUCUGCUAAAUCGUAAGAUGAUGUAUAGGGGGUGACGCCUGCCCGGUGCUGGAAGGUUAAGAGGAGUGCUUAGCGUAAGCGAAGGUAUGAAUUGAAGCCCCAGUAAACGGCGGCCGUAACUAUAACGGUCCUAAGGUAGCGAAAUUCCUUGUCGGGUAAGUUCCGACCCGCACGAAAGGCGUAAUGAUUUGGGCACUGUCUCAACGAGAGACUCGGUGAAAUUUUAGUACCUGUGAAGAUGCAGGUUACCCGCGACAGGACGGAAAGACCCCAUGGAGCUUUACUGCAGUUUGAUAUUGAGUGUCUGUACCACAUGUACAGGAUAGGUAGGAGUCUAAGAGAUCGGGACGCCAGUUUCGAAGGAGACGCUGUUGGGAUACUACCCUUGUGUUAUGGCCACUCUAACCCAGAUAGGUGAUCCCUAUCGGAGACAGUGUCUGACGGGCAGUUUGACUGGGGCGGUCGCCUCCUAAAAGGUAACGGAGGCGCCCAAAGGUUCCUUCAGAAUGGUUGGAAAUCAUUCGCAGAGUGUAAAGGUAUAAGGGAGCUUGACUGCGAGAGCUACAACUCGAGCAGGGACGAAAGUCGGGCUUAGUGAUCCGGUGGUUCCGUAUGGAAGGGCCAUCGCUCAACGGAUAAAAGCUACCCUGGGGAUAACAGGCUUAUCUCCCCCAAGAGUUCACAUCGACGGGGAGGUUUGGCACCUCGAUGUCGGCUCGUCGCAUCCUGGGGCUGUAGUCGGUCCCAAGGGUUGGGCUGUUCGCCCAUUAAAGCGGCACGCGAGCUGGGUUCAGAACGUCGUGAGACAGUUCGGUCCCUAUCCGUCGCGGGCGUAGGAAAUUUGAGAGGAUCUGCUCCUAGUACGAGAGGACCAGAGUGGACUUACCGCUGGUGUACCAGUUGUCUUGCCAAAGGCAUCGCUGGGUAGCUAUGUAGGGAAGGGAUAAACGCUGAAAGCAUCUAAGUGUGAAACCCACCUCAAGAUGAGAUUUCCCAUGAUUAUAUAUCAGUAAGAGCCCUGAGAGAUGAUCAGGUAGAUAGGUUAGAAGUGGAAGUGUGGCGACACAUGUAGCGGACUAAUACUAAUAGCUCGAGGACUUAUCCAA